UGGUAUUCUUGAUUCGAAUUUAAAAGCUUGAGUAGUAAUCAGUUAUAGGCUAGAAAUUUAAAGGAUUUGGCGGUUUUUUAGUCCAGUUAGAGGAACCUGUCCAGUAAACGAUACACCACGAAGAAUCUUACUUUACCUGGUACUUAUCAGCUUGUAUACCACCAUUAUCAGGCGUGCUUUAAAGGGUUACGCUUUCAAAGGUCUAAAAUGAUCUAUAAAAUUAGGUCAAGGUGCAGCCUAUGGUAAAGGAGUGAGAUGGGUUACAAUUUUAUUUCAGAAAAUUACGAAUAAAAGAUAGAAUUAUCUUUUUGAAGGUGGAUUUAAUAGUAAUUUUUGCUUAACAUGGUAAAAUGAUACAGGCUCUAAAGUGUGUA
rnacentral:rRNA from 1 species